rnacentral:rRNA from 1 species
AUUGAACGCUGGCGGCAGGCCUAACACAUGCAAGUCGAACGAGUGGCGGACGGGUGAGUAAUGUCUGGGAAACUGCCUGAUGGAGGGGGAUAACUACUGGAAACGGUAGCUAAUACCGCAUACCAUCGGAUGUGCCCAGGUGGGAUUAGCUAGUAGGUGGGGUAAAGGCUCACCUAGGCGACGAUACCUAGCUGGUCUGAGAGGAUGACCAGCCACAAGGGAACUGAGAAACGAGCCAGCAUCUUCCGUGAGGCAGCAGUGGUGAAUAUUGCACAAUGGGCGCAAGUCUGAUGGAGCCAUGCCGCGUGUAUGAAGAAGGCCUUCGGGUUGUAAAGUAAUGUCAGCGGGGAGGCAUUGCCCGCAGAUGAAGCACCGGCUAACUCCGUGCCAGCAGCCGAGGUAAUAC